rnacentral:misc_RNA from 1 species
CCCCAAUCUGUCUCUCUCUCCUUCCAUCUCGGUCGUCUUCACUGAUCAGCUUCUGCAUUUUGCUUCACCAGUUCUUGGUUCUUACUGCUGCUUACUUUCUUCUCAGCUCUCCAGAAGCCAUGAGUCUAGGCAAUAAGAUCAAGUUCGGAAUCGAAGGAUAUGCAAGGUUCAGUCGUUUCGUCUCAAGAGUCGCUCGUCCAAAAGACGAAGUUAAGAUCCUUCCAGCACUACCGUACUAUCUUGCAAAGCAUGACCAGGAAACAGUGGGAUCUACUGGCAUAAACUCUUUAAGAAUGCUUGCACUCCUUGGGGCUGGUAUUACAGGGAUUUUGAGUUGUGCCACUAUAGCUGCUUGUUCUGAUGAGGCAGAACACGGCUUGGAAUGCCCUAACUAUCCAUGGCCUCACAAAGGCAUACUCAGUUCAUAUGACCAUGCUUCGAUUCGCCGCGGUCACCAAGUCUAUCAAGAAGUUUGUGCAUCGUGCCAUUCAAUGUCCCUGAUAUCUUAUCGUGAUCUUGUGGGUGUUGCAUACACUGAAGAAGAGGUAAAGGCUAUGGCGGCUGAGGUUGAGGUUGUUGAUGGGCCAAAUGAUGAGGGUGAAAUGUUCACACGCCCUGGAAAAUUGAGUGACCGUUUUCCUCAGCCAUAUGCCAAUGAACAGGCAGCCAGAUUUGCUAAUGGAGGGGCAUAUCCUCCAGAUCUAAGUCUCAUUACCAAGGCCCGUCAUAAUGGUCAGAACUAUGUAUUUGCUCUUCUAACUGGUUACCAUGAUCCUCCUGCUGGU